CAGGAGCAUGCCUAUGGCUGGUGUGCUUUGUUAAGGGAUGUCAGAAGGGCUCAAAUAUUUUUUAAAAAAAUAGCAAAGCGGAGUUUUUUUGUUAGUGUAGGAGCUGUAUCGGUCGCACGAAAGGGGAGGGAGUGCUGCCCCCAGCUGUGGCCAGCGACCCUGCCCUUGGAAGAGCCCGUGAAGGGAAGGCCCUGCAGCGAGGCGCUCCGGGCCCAGGCUGCUCCCCCUGCUCCCCGCUCCCUCCGGGGCUGGCAGGGCACAAACCAGGCCGCCCAGCUGCGGCUGCCGGGCAGGGUGACAGAGGGGAAGGGAGGCUCCACAGCCCUGUCACCAGCCGUCAAAAUAAUGGCCGAGCAGUGUGUGUGUGUGUGUGGGUGCAGGAAGCUAACGCCGCUAGUUACGUGCAUCUCUGCCUGUGUGAGAAGCGACAGGAGCGGCUGCGGCUCGGGGCGGCCUGCACAAGCACGUCCAUCGUUCUACUCUUGGCUUUGCAGAUCUGUUAAACAUAUAAGUGAUGCCACCGGUUAGCUACACUGAACAGGUACCCUCUGGACAGUUAUUGCUGACUACUGAAAUGCUACCAUAAGU
ensembl:lncRNA